rnacentral:ncRNA from 1 species
CCUCGUCCGCUUGCUGGGGGCAGAUGAAGUGGAUGUGCGUGUCGAUGCCUCCUGCGGUAAGGAUCAUACCCUCCCCAGCAAUCGCUUCAGUGUUCACCUGCAGUAGCGGGCGCAAUCUUAUACGAAUUUACUCGAGAGG